AUACGGAGGAUCCGAGCGUUAUCCGGAUUUAUUGGGUUUAAAGGGUGCGCAGGCGGCCAUUUAAGUCAGCGGUUAAAUCGUGGGGCUCAACCCCAUUCUGCCGUUGAUACUGGGUGGCUUGAUUGCGGUCGAGGUUGGCGGAAUUCGUUGUGUAGCGGUGAAAUGCAUAGAUAUGACGAAGAACACCGAUUGCGUAGGCAGCUGACCAGAUCGCAAAUGACGCUCAUGCACGAAAGUGCGGGGAUCGAACAGGAUUAGAUACCCUGGUAGUCCGCACAGUAAACGAUGAAUACUUGUUUUCGGCGAUAUAAUGUCGGAGGCAAAGCGAAAGCGAUAAGUAUUCCACCUGGGGAGUACGCCGGCAACGGUGAAACUUAAAGGAAUUGGCGGGG
rnacentral:rRNA from 1 species